UGGUUCUGGCAUCGAUGAAGAACGCAGCGAAAUGCGAUAAGUAAUGUGAAUUGCAGAAUUCAGUGAAUCAUCGAAUCUUUGAACGCACAUUGCGCCCUUUGGCAUUCCGAGGGGCAUGCCUGUCCGAGCGUCAUUACACCACUCCAGCCCGCCUGGGUUAUGGGUCACGCCUUGCCGUCCAGGCGGGGCGGGCCUGGAAGACAGUGGCGGUCCGGAUGGUCCUCCCCAGUGACAGGACUCACACGCGGCAGAGGAUCGUCCGGGCCCGCCCUGUUGGGUUGAUGGGGAUCGCUGAUCGCCUCGCCCAACCCAUCCAUUCUACAGUUUGACCUCGGAUCAGGUAGGGAUACCCGCUGA
rnacentral:misc_RNA from 1 species